rnacentral:rRNA from 1 species
CCUACGGGUGGCAGCAGUGGGGAAUAUUGCACAAUGGGCGCAAGCCUGAUGCAGCCAUGCCGCGUGUGUGAAGAAGGCCUUCGGGUUGUAAAGCACUUUCAGCGGGGAGGAAGGCGGUGAGGUUAAUAACCUCAUCGAUUGACGUUACCCGCAGAAGAAGCACCGGCUAACUCCGUGCCAGCAGCCGCGGUAAUACGGAGGGUGCAAGCGUUAAUCGGGAUUACUGGGCGUAAAGCGCACGCAGGCGGUCUGUCAAGUCGGAUGUGAAAUCCCCGGGCUCAACCUGGGAACUGCAUUCGAAACUGGCAGGCUAGAGUCUUGUAGAGGGGGGUAGAAUUCCAGGUGUAGCGGUGAAAUGCGUAGAGAUCUGGAGGAAUACCGGUGGCGAAGGCGGCCCCCUGGACAAAGACUGACGCUCAGGUGCGAAAGCGUGGGGAGCAAACAGGAUUAGAUACCCCAGUAGUC